rnacentral:rRNA from 1 species
UACAGAGGGGGCAAGCGUUGUUCGGAAUUACUGGGCGUAAAGGGCGCGUAGGCGGCCUGCUAAGUCGAACGUGAAAUCCCCGAGCUCAACUCGGGAACUGCGUCCGAUACUGGCAGGCUUGAAUCCGGGAGAGGGAUGCGGAAUUCCAGGUGUAGCGGUGAAAUGCGUAGAUAUCUGGAGGAACACCGGUGGCGAAGGCGGCAUCCUGGACCGGUAUUGACGCUGAGGCGCGAAAGCCAGGGGAGCAAACGGG